rnacentral:rRNA from 1 species
AUUGAACGCUGGCGGCAUGCUUUACACAUGCAAGUCGAACGGUAACAGGCCGCAAGGUGCUGACGAGUGGCGAACGGGUGAGUAAUGCAUCGGAACGUGCCCAGUCGUGGGGGAUAACGCAGCGAAAGCUGUGCUAAUACCGCAUACGAUCUAUGGAUGAAGGCGGGGGACCGUAAGGCCUCGCGCGAUUGGAGCGGCCGAUGUCAGAUUAGGUAGUUGGUGGGGUAAAGGCCUACCAAGCCGACGAUCUGUAGCUGGUCUGAGAGGACGACCAGCCACACUGGGACUGAGACACGGCCCAGACUCCUACGGGAGGCAGCAGUGGGGAAUUUUGGACAAUGGGCGCAAGCCUGAUCCAGCAAUGCCGCGUGCAGGAAGAAGGCCUUCGGGUUGUAAACUGCUUUUGUACGGAACGAAACGGCCUGGGUUAAUACCCUGGGCUAAUGACGGUACCGUAAGAAUAAGCACCGGCUAACUACGUGCCAGCCGCCGCGGUAAGAC